AUUGAACGCUGGCGGCAGGCCUAACACAUGCAAGUCGAGCGGAUGAAGGGAGCUUGCUCCUGGAUUCAGCGGCGGACGGGUGAGUAAUGCCUAGGAAUCUGCCUGGUAGUGGGGGAUAACGUCCGGAAACGGGCGCUAAUACCGCAUACGUCCUGAGGGAGAAAGUGGGGGAUCUUCGGACCUCACGCUAUCAGAUGAGCCUAGGUCGGAUUAGCUAGUUGGUGGGGUAAAGGCCUACCAAGGCGACGAUCCGUAACUGGUCUGGGGGGAUGAUCAGUCACAGGGAAACGGAAAAACGGCCCGAGCACCCAGGGGGGGCGAAGGGGGGAAAUUUUGGAAAAAGGGGGAAAGACGGAACCAGCCAGGCCGGGUGGGUGAAGAAGGUCUUCGAUUGGUAAAACACUUUAAGUUGGGAGAAAGGGAGGGAAAUUAAAACCUUACUUUUUGAAGGUAACCAACAAAAAAGCCACGGCCAACCUCGUG
rnacentral:rRNA from 1 species